AUACGGAGGGUGCGAGCGUUAAUCGGAAUUACUGGGCGUAAAGCGUACGUAGGCGGUUGGUUAAGUUAGAUGUGAAAGCCCCGGGCUUAACCUGGGAACUGCAUUUAAAACUGGCGAACUAGAGUUGAGUAGAGGGGAGUGGAAUUUCAGGUGCAGCGGUGAAAUGCGUAGAGAUCUGAAGGAACACCAGUGGCGAAGGCGACUCCCUGGACUCGAACUGACGCUGAGGUACGAAAGCGUGGGUAGCAAACGGGAUUAGAAACCCUAGUAGUCC
rnacentral:rRNA from 1 species